rnacentral:rRNA from 1 species
AUCCAGACUCCUACGGGAGGCAGCAGUGGGGAAUAUUGCACAAUGGGCGAAAGCCUGAUGCAGCAACGCCGCGUGAAGGAAGAAGGGUUUCGGCUCGUAAACUUCUAUCAACAGGGACGAAAGAAAUGACGGUACCUGACUAAGAAGCCCCGGCUAACUACGUGCCAGCAGCCGCGGUAAUACGUAGGGGGCAAGCGUUAUCCGGAUUUACUGGGUGUAAAGGGGGCGCAGACGGCCAUGGCAAGCCCGGUGUGAAAGGCAGGGGCAUAACCCCUGGACUGCACUGGGAACUGUCAGGCUGGAGUGCCGGAGGGGUAAGCGGAAUUCCUGGUGUAGCGGUGAAAUGCGUAGAUAUCAGGAGGAACACCGGCGGCGAAGGCGGCUUACUGGACGGCAACUGACGUUGAGGCCCGAAAGCGUGGGGAGCGAACAGGAUUAGAUACCCCCGUAAC